GUCGGGAUAGCUCAGUUGGUAGAGCAGAGGACUGAAAAUCCUCGCGUCA
rnacentral:tRNA from 1 species